UUGGAGAAGACCUCUGUAGUCGAGUCCAGCCUAUGACGACAUCACCUUGUCAACUGGACCGGGGCACUGAGAGCCACUUCCAGGCUUUCCUUAAACACCUCUAGGCACGGUGACUCCACCACCGCCCUGGGCGCACCAUUCCAAUGUCUAAUCAUCCUUUCGGUGAAGAAAAUCUUCCUAAUGUCCAAUCUGAAACUCUUCGGAGAAGAGGCGGACCCCCGCCUGGCUACACCUUCCUUUCAGGGAGGAAAUAUGGUGGUGGCUCUGUUGAAGCAGCAGUGGGACUGUGGCUUUGGAGAGUAAGAGUCUUUGGUGGUCAACAGGAUCAGUGGAUCAGUGACUUUUAGAGGGAAGAAUUCCGCGGUUCCUUGGCAAACAGCAUUCAUGUCCUUUGUAAACGCUGCAGUCCCGCAGGUUGUCAUUAAAUCUUGCGAAGGCCUGGCCUCGGCUUUUUCCUGCCAUCUGUUGCAGGAGAUCACAACACACAAAUUAUGAGUGAAGGGAGCCCUGGCAAAUGUCUGCCUGUAUGCCUGCUGCCAGAGCCAAGAACACUUUCCUGUAUGCACUAGUGAUCUGUUCCAAGGCUGGCUGCAGCUGCCCUGUGCAGCCUGAUUGAAGGGUAUGGGAGGCUGGAAAUGGCACAGCUUUGGGAAAUUGCACAGACAUAAAUGUACACACCACAGUAUAAGCACCCAUAGCUUAGGGGGCCAAGCUCCAACUCAGAAAUCCUGUCCCCUUCUUUUUGGAAACCCAAGCAUAGGAAACCCUCUGAUCUAGGCUUAUGCUCCUGGGGGUUUGCUGGAGUUCAAGCAAUUACAAUACAGCUGAGAGAGAAGCAGUAGUUAACAUUCUUCCUGACUCUUCACUCUUGUUAGAAAUAUCCAAAUGUGUUACUUAAGAGGUUUUUAUAGAAACUUCAUGCAUUGCUUUGUUGACUUCUGCAGAUAUGAAGGGUAAAUUAUUGGUAUAACACACUUUUAAAUCUGUACUUAUAUGCCCCAAGACAUUUCUCUCUAUCUUCCUCUGUAAGGAAAUACCUUUUCUACACCAAUGUCUACCUUUCAUAAAUGUUCCAAUUUGUUAAUGCCUUGCCAAACUACUGCUUUUUCCUUUUUUCCUUUUAUGCAUUUAAGUGGAAGCUGCUGUGUGCAAUGAUUAACAACUGUGUCUGGAAUAUAUCUACAGCUUUUAUAUAUAUCAUACUUCUGUCUAGACCCCGAUUCUGCAGACCUUUAUGCUUAACUUCACACAAUGUGAAUCUGUGACUUUCAUUCUCACUUUAAAAUGUGUAACAAAAAUGAAAUUAUCACUUGAGCAACUCAUUGCUUUCUGGAAUGUAUUUGUUACCAAGCUUCAUAGAAAUAUUUAAAUAACAUUUAAGCUAUUUAAACAACCUGAUAACUUACUGGAUUCUAAUUUUCUUAGACUCACAUUUAGUAAAACUUAAAAAAAUAUACAUCCAUAAAAAUGAGUCUGAAAUUUAAUCUUUCAGACUCAUCACACAGAGGACAAUUUAAAAGAGCCAUACUUCCAAGACAACUUCCAGAUAUGAGUGAUAUCCAAAGUAAAGUGAAAUCAAUACUUCAGAUGCAAUGAUGGGCUCAUCACUCAUGAUGGAAUGAGCAUUGUUGGCAGGAAAUAAAUAAACAAGUCACACCUAGAUUUCAGCAAUUUCUUGGACAGCUGAAGACAGAGAAAUAUAAAGAUACAAUGGAUGAGGUACUGGUUUUAGGACCAGUCAAACUUAACCUGCAACAGCUACCCUUCUGAGAAAAACUACCAGUACUCACCAGCACUGAGAGCUCCUCCUAUUUGAUCAAGUGGCUGUAACAAACCCUUACCUUACAACACUAUUUCCAUACUUGUGAAGUUCUAUUAAAGGUGAAGAAUAUUCUUUUUCUGUAUUAACAGAAUGAAUUUUGUCCCAGAUUCUCAGGCUAAUUCAGCUAAUGGGGAACUACAAUCCUUUUUCCUUAUGUAAUAAUAAUUGAAAAAUCAUUAGGUCUUCUCACAUUCACUGAUCAUAAUAGAAUAGGAUGUACCUAGUGUGAAAUAUUGUACUAAAUAAAGGAAUUAUGUUUAAUAUUUAAAAUUUUUAUUAUAGAAACCUACAACUUAGUCAAUAAUUACAGUCUUCUAAUUUAUCAUGUUCAAACAUUUUUGCAUCGCUUCAGACUAAGAUGUACACUCAGAUCAUUGCUCUCUCCUGUGUUUGAACUUGCACUCAAAUGCUUGAGAACUGAAAAGGCCUUGUACAAUGUCUCAUGAAGGGUAUGAAGAGAAGUUGCUGAACACAAGUAACCUACAUUUUCUUACAUGGUUAUAACCUCCAUAAAGGGAGAGAGAAAGGAACUUUUCCAGGUACCACAGAAUCAGAGAAAGGUUUGGAUUGGAAGGGACCUUGAAGAUCAUCCAGUUCCAAGCUCCUGCCAUGGGCAGGGACACCUUUCAUAGACCACAUUGAUCAGAAUCCCACCCAGUCUGGCCUUGAACACUUCCACGGAUGGGGCAUCUACACCUUCUAUGGGCAGUGUCUCCUUCUAUUCCAGUGUCUCCUCACCCACGCAAUAAAGAAUUUCUUCCUUAUAUUCAGUCUUUCAAUUUAAAACUAUUGUCCCCUGUUCUGUCAUUACAAGCCUUGGUAAUGUCUUUCUCAGUCUUUCUCACAAGCCCACUUUAUAUACUAUUGCAAGGCUGCAAAAAGGUCUCUAUGAAGCCUUCUCUUCUGCAGGCUGAAAAAAACCCAACUCUCUUGGCCUUUCUUCACAGGAAAGGUGUUCCAGCUCUUAUUCCGUGUUAAGCUACACUUCAUAGAAUCACAGAAUACACUGGAAGGCCAUUAAUCUGAAAGUUCUACUUCACUUCCCUAUGUUCCCAAGUUCUUAAAAUUGUUGGUUUUGAGAACUAAAUGGUGGCCUCUAUUAGUUCUCUGAAUAGUCAUUCAAUUAAAAAUAAUGACAUUUGUGUACAUCGAAGAAAUUAUAAAUUUGGUGUGAAAAACUGCAUGUGCAAGUGUAUACAGUAGGUUUAGGAGAUGGUAUCAGUAAAGAGCAGGCUGAUUACAUUUUUAAUGUAUUUCAGCAGUUCUUCCAAUCUGAUAAUAAACUGAUAAUAAUCUGAUAAUAAAGUAAAUUUGAUAAUAAAGUAAAAUAGAACACUGUAUCAAUGUAGACAGAGGGCAUAAACUCUUACAUUUAUACCCAACGUAAAAUUAAUUUUUCAUGUUUAUACCUCUCAGUGAAAAAUAUUCAUUGCUAUCAUCUCACAUGCAAUACACAGAAGCAGGUUAUAUAAGGAACAUAAAUAAUUAGGUAUACAGUUAUAUUUACUCUCUCUGUUUCCAGAAGUUAUUUCUGUAUGUCUAAAAUAAUAGUUUAAUAAAGCUAGCCAUCUAUGAAGUUAUGUAUCCCUUGUCUUUGUCUUUCCUGAUA